rnacentral:rRNA from 1 species
CACGUAGUUAGCCGGAGCUUUUUCUUCAGGUACCGUCAUUAUCGUCCCUGAUAAAAGGAGUUUACAAUCCGAAAACCUUCUUCCUCCACGCGGCAUCGCUGCAUCAGGUUUCCCCCCAUUGUGCAAUAUUCCCCACUGCUGCCUCCCGUAGGAGUCUGGGCCGUGUCUCAGUCCCAAUGUGGCCGUUCAACCUCUCAGUCCGGCUACUGAUCGUCGACUUGGUGAGCCGUUACCUCACCAACUAUCUAAUCAGACGCGAGCCCAUCUCUGAGCGAAUUUCUUUGAUAACCAAAAUCAUGCGAUUUCACUAUGUUAUGAGGUAUUACCAUCCGUUUCCAGAAGCUAUCCCUCUCUCAGAGGCAGGUUGCUCACGUGUUACUCACCCGUCCGCCACUAACUUGAGGAAGCAAGCUUCCUCUCGUCCGUUCGACUUGCAUGUGUUAGGCGUGCCGCCAGCGUGUCCUCGUGCCGACGGAGUCAAACCUACU